GGAAACUUGCCCAAGGCUACUUGUGGCAGAUACAGGCGGUAAAAACCUAAGUGUGGACUCUCGGAAAAUCCCAGUAUUUUUAAAAUAUGUUGCUGUGUGCUCCAUUAACAAAGAUAGUAUGCAGUUGACAUUACGAAAACACAGGUUUGGAUGCCAAGGGCCACGUCAGAUCUCUGGAGAAGCAGAAUUGGCCUCCCCAUAUCUAUUCUGGGUUGUCAUUCACCUGGGUUCCAGGUGAAAAAAACUGAAGCUGAAAGAGGAGGAAACAACUUGCCCAAAACCACAAAAGCUAUGCAGUCUUAUCUGUGGCGGGAUCUAUGUUGAGACACCAUCCUAGGUUCCAGCACCCUCCCCCAUUGCUGGAAGCCAGGUGACCACAAGGCCCAGCCACAGGUGUCAGCUCCACCCCCACUCUAAUGGGAUUCGCUGCUCCUACUUCCCUGCUCCCCCCUGCCCUCCCCCAAAGGUUUAACAGGAGCUGUUCCUGAACAGUGGCUCUCUCUGUCUUGUGCUCUCUCAUACUCUCUUGCCCUCCCCCCACCCCACCCAUCGGCCUUCCCCAACCCGCAAUAAACCUUUCCUCUAAAAAAAAAAAGACUAAAGCCAUGGCUGUAUGAAGCUUUCCGCUGUAUGAGUGUAACAUGGAAG